rnacentral:rRNA from 1 species
AGUGAACGCUGGCGGUAGGCCUAACACAUGCAAGUCGAACGGCAGCACAGUAAGAGCUUGCUCUUACGGGUGGCGAGUGGCGGACGGGUGAGGAAUACAUCGGAAUCUACUUUUUCGUGGGGGAUAACGUAGGGAAACUUACGCUAAUACCGCAUACGACCUACGGGUGAAAGCAGGGGAUCUUCGGACCUUGCGCGAUUGAAUGAGCCGAUGUCGGAUUAGCUAGUUGGCGGGGUAAAGGCCCACCAAGGCGACGAUCCGUAGCUGGUCUGAGAGGAUGAUCGGCCACACUGGAACUGAGACACGGUCCAGACUCCUACGGGAGGCAGCAGUGGGGAAUAUUGGACAAUGGGCGAAAGCCUGACCCAGCAAUACCGCGUGAGUGAAGAAGGUCUUCGGGUUGUAAAGCCCUUUUGUUGGGAAAGAAAAGCAGUAGGUUAAUACCCCGAUGUUCUGACGGUACCUAAAGAAUAAGCAACGGCUAACUUCGUG